ACACUACUUAUGCCAGGUCCUGCCUCCCUCGCAGAAGAAGCAGCCUGCAACUUUUGCUGCUCUAGACAACGCUUCAUCUCUCAGGGAGCAGAGCUCUGCAGAGUGGAUUUGGGGGAUCAGAGGGGAUCUGCCUCUGCAAUUUACAGCUGCCUUGCUGACAAGACCUCCUUGAGAGACCCCAGAAGCCAUCCACUAAACUGGAGCUUUUCAGACCCCAGGACGAGUGACCAAGCAUCCAAGCUAUGCCCAGCCUGGCUGCAGCAACCUUCUCCCUGAAAUAUGAAUCUUUCACCCAGAGGACAAGAAAAGGCUUUGG